AACGAACGCUGGCGGCAGGCUUAACACAUGCCAGUCGAGCGCCCCGCCAGGGGAGCGGCAGACGGGUGAGUAACGCGUGGGAACGUACCUUUUGGUUCGGACCAACUCCGGGAAACUGGAGCUAAUACCGGAUAAGCCCUAACGGGGAAAGAUUUAUCGCCGAAAGAUCGGCCCGCGUCUGAUUAGCUAGUUGGUGAGGUAACGGCUCACCAAGGCGACGAUCAGUAGCUGGUCUGAGAGGAUGAUCAGCCACACUGGGACUGAGACACGGCCCAGACUCCUACGGGAGGCAGCAGUGGGGAAUAUUGGACAAUGGGCGCAAGCCUGAUCCAGCCAUGCCGCGUGAGUGAUGAAGGCCUUAGGGUUGUAAAGCUCUUUUGUCCGGGAAGAUAAUGACUGUACCGGAAGAAUAAGCCCCGGCUAACUUCGUG
rnacentral:rRNA from 1 species